CGAGGCUGCCUGCCCUGGUGUUUGGCUUCAGGCAGCUCUGACAUCAAUCUGUCAUUCCAGAGGACACUUUUAGAUAAACAGUCUUGCUCUGUUGCCAGGCUGGAGUACAGUGGCACGAUCUUGGCUCACUGCAAUCUCCACCUCCCAGGUUCAAGCGAUUCUCCUGCCUCAGACUCCUGAAUAGCUGGGACUACAGGCAUGUGCCACCACAUCCGGCUAAUUUUUUGUAUUUUUUUAGUAGAGAUGUGGUUUCACCAUGUUGGCCAGGAUGGUCUCAAUCUCCUGACCUCAUGAUCCACCCGCCUUGGCCUCCCAAAGUGCUGGGAUUGCAGGCAUGAGCCACUGUGCCCGGCCUGCAAAUUCUUUUAAAGUACACUUUUAUAGUUGUAUAAUGCCAGUGUAGACUAACCUCUGUAACAACCAACCUUCAAAUGUCAAUGUCUUAAUAUCUUACUUUCGUAUCAAAAUACAAAGUGAGUCAGCAGGGAGACUGUUCCAGUGUCAUUCAGGGACCCUGACUUCUUCCAUCCUGUGGUUCUACCUUACCCUGGGUACUCUUCACUCAACUUAUGGAUGGGCAAAGGGAAGCGUUCAUCUGAGGUGGUCGUGUGAGUCUGUGUGAGCCUGCAAGCACUGCCCAUCUCUUACACCCACACCCCAUUGGCCAGAACUCUGUUCUCUGAUAAACAGUGGCAUCGUUGUUGUGCUUGACCACAAGAAAAGGAAUUGUGUGUCCAGGAAAGAGAGAAGAUGCAUGUAGCUGAGGAGUGGCAGUUUCGGCUGUAAAUAUAUAACCUCACCCAAGGGGGUGCUUCACCUAAAAACUUGCAGUAGGCAGAAUGAUGGUGUCCCCAGUGACGUCCACGUCCUCAUCCCAGAAUCUGUGACUAUGUCACCUU
ensembl:lncRNA novel transcript